GAGUGGAAUCACUUUGUUUUUGGCUGUUUAUUGUCCCCUACGUUCUGUUAAAGUUCUCAAUGGCGAAUUCAGUGGGCGCCGAUACUUUCCGUAGCCCAUCAGACUGGUUUGAGACCCCACUCUUCCUAAAUAGGCGAUGGUCGCUUCUCUCGCGUCGAAGAGAAGAAGGGCGGCCUCCAUUUUCAGAGCGCUGAUCCACUCCCUCCCAUUGCUAACAAUGGUUUAGAAACGCGGACACGUCUCGUCCCGUUAAAAAUCUAGCGCCUGCAGUAGGCAACUCUCAGGAGACAAUAAGAUUAGUGAUGGAUAUUGAUACCUGAGUAUGCACGGGGCAGGGCAGUGAUGCCACUCACCGGGGCCGUAUUAAAGCAAACAGUAUUAGUGCAGAUAAUAUUAACGUAGGAAAUAGUAAUGCAGGCAAUAUUAUUUGGAGGAUGCAGAGACACAAUUCAGCGUGCAGUGUUACAUUUGGAGAGUGUGUGGGUUACUGGAGCGGUGAAAGUAGGGAUGGUGACCAAUGGGAAUUAAAAAGUGCUGUCGACGCGAAACGUUAACGGCUUCUCUUCCCGCAGAUGCUGCCUGAAUUGCAGGGGUUUCCCGGCAUGUUAUGAUUUCAAUGUGGGGGGUGGAAGAAUGUGGCGGAGACGGCGCUGUAUCAUUCUGGGACAGUGUUGGGGCAAUGGUCUGAGUCCCGACUGAGGUCAAUUGCUGCAGCGGCAUCGUAAUCUAGUCAGAUGUGUUUUUCUACAUAGAUUUGCCAAAGUCCUGUGGCUGCCUCAUAUCACACUGACAGCGCUGCUCUCAACCUUGCGCUGCGAAGCGUUGGAGAGGCGUUGGGAUCAUUUAUGUGAGUUGGUGGUGAGAACUCUCGCCAGCAAACCGCUCCCAUGCCACGGCCCCCCCCCCCCCCCCCCCCCCCUCCAUUUGGUCUUUUAUCUUUGAAUGUGAAAGUAAUAAAUGCACAAUGUGAGCGGUCACGUGGCUCUCCGAGGGGGGGGGAGGCUUGCGCGGGAUUGCUGGUGAGAGGACGUCCCGUCGCCCUGGUUACCGGAGAUGCUGGUGGUAGCCAGGAAACAAGCCAUUCUACGUUGGCCCCCUUCCAGUCUGAUCCCUUGCUUGUCCACAAGCCUCGCCUCACGUGUUCUGGCUAAAUGCAUCGUCAGAAACCCCCGCAGCGCACAAGGACUUGACAAUGACUUAACCAACUCAUCUGCUUUUGCCAGUGAGGGGAAAGCAAUGUUGCAACCAGAAGAAAUUCCAAUGCACACUCGACUGUGGGGUGGUGGCAACUUUGGGCAACGGGGGAGAAUCGCAUUAGCCGCCCAUUAUUUAUACUCGACAGCUGGAACCGAAAGCAGGCAGGCAACGUUAAAAUAACCCAUCACAGCAGCAGCGCAAUUUCCCCAUGGCACUACUUAUCCCAGCUUACCGCUCCAACCGACCUUCCAAACUGCAGAGCGCAAGAAAAUAAGACUAGGGAUCGGCCACUUGCUUACUCCUUCAAACCUGCCCUGCUUUUCAAUGUGAUCAUGGCUGAUUUGCUCCGCGGCCUCAACUCCCACUCAAAGUCAGAUCCCCGUAGCCACAAUCUCCCAAUCUCUGAAGAGAAGGAAUGGGUGACGUUUCGGGUCAAGGAUCUCGACACCCAAACGUCACCCAUUCAAUAUCUCCAGAGAUGCUGCCUGUCCCGCAGAGUUACUCCAGCCUUUUGUGUCUAUCUUCGGUGUAAACCAGCAUCUGCAGUUCCUUCCUUCACAAUCUCUGAACGCUAUCUGUCCAACUACCAUAAACUUAGCGGCACGGGAUAAUCUUUGUAACAAUAUACCCCAGGGCAUUAUUUAAACGAAACCGUUCGCUGCCGCAAUAGGGGGGAGGGGGUCUGAUAAACGUUCCUGCGCUGUGUUACGGUUUUGCAUUGUCUAUCCUCGUCAAAUGAAACAAAACUGCCUUUUAAGGGACAUUUGAAUACUAAGUAGCACAGCCUAGUUUAGACUGCAAAAGACCAUCGGCGUAACCAAUUCCCUCGGGCCAUUGCGUUCUUUGCGCCAUUUCGUUUAAUUUCCCGAGGGAGAUGCAGUUCCCGACUGUAGGAGAAAUAAAAAACAAUAAUUAAAUAGGAAAAUCGCCCACAGUUCGCAAUAACAAUCGAGCAAAGCUCCCGCUAUUAUUCCAAAGGCGUAAUCCUGGCCAGGAGAUUGGCGUCUGUUAGAGUACGUGUUUCAGACUUUGCCAUUUUGAGUACAAGCCUCAAAUUACAAGAUGGGGCUUUACCAGCAUCCCUGGCCAAAUCCUUUAACGGUGUGUUUUUACCAAGCGGAAGAUAUGAUAACAGCGAGUCGCACCAGGCAGCAGGUUCAUCAAGUAUUUGUGCUUCUACAUGUUCGUAACCAGUACGGGAAGCCAGCUGUAAACACCCUUCCCACCCCAUCACCCCAACCAAAGAACGCCCUUCAUCCAGGUUGUCGAAGGCAGGGCUCCAACAUUGUGAGAUGCAUCGCAGCGCUUAACUAACCCCGAAGUUAAGAAGCCUGUUUGGAUAAUUGUAGUGAACGGUUAAUAACCACAGUCCUCUGCAUUUUCGCUAAUGGAAACUGAUUGUGUGCAGGUUCAAUGUUUUCGAUGCUACCGUGUACCAUCUCACAUUUAUCUAUAUUAAAACAAAACGAUUUCUUAGCCUCUCUA